rnacentral:rRNA from 1 species
UACGGGGGGGGCAAGCGUUGUUCGGAAUUACUGGGCGUAAAGGGCCAGUAGGCGGCCAACUAAGUCGGAUGUGAAAUCCCCAGGCUUAACCUGGGAACUGCAUCCGAUACUGGAUGGCUUGAAUUCGGGAGAGGGAUGCAGAAUUCCAGGUGUAGCGGUGAAAUGCGUAGAUAUCUGGAGGAACACCGGUGGCGAAGGCGGCAUCCUGGACCGGUAUUGACGCUGAUGCGCGAAAGCCAGGGGAGCAAACGGG